GGGGGUGAAGCUUUAAUGGUGAAGCAUCGAGCUUUUAACUCGAUGAACAGGGUUCGAUACCCUGCGCCCCUACCA
rnacentral:tRNA from 1 species